AUUGAACGCUGGCGGCAUGCUUUACACAUGCAAGUCGAACGGCAGCGCGGGCUUCGGCCUGGCGGCGAGUGGCGAACGGGUGAGUAAUACAUCGGAACGUGCCCAGUAGUGGGGGAUAGCUCGGCGAAAGCCGGAUUAAUACCGCAUACGACCUGAGGGUGAAAGCGGGGGAUCUUCGGACCUCGCGCUAUUGGAGCGGCCGAUGGCAGGUUAGCUAGUUGGUGGGGUAACGGCCUACCAAGGCGACGAUCUGUAGCCGGUCUGAAAGGACGACCAGACACACUUGAACUGAGACACGUUCCACACUCCUACGGGAGGCAGCAGUAGGGAAUCUUCCGCAAUGGGCGAAAGCCUGACGGAGCCACGCCGCGUGAGUGACGAAGAUCUUCGGAUCGUAAAACUCUGUUAUUAGGGAAGAACAAAUGUGUCAGUAACUAUGCCCGUCUUGACGGUACCUAAUCAGAAAGCCACGGCUAACUACGUG
rnacentral:rRNA from 1 species